rnacentral:lncRNA from 1 species
ACGCAGCUGGUAACCCUGCGGCAGUGGAGGAGCUGCCCGCCGGUUUUGUGACCGUGCUGACCCCUACGCAGACCUCAUGAGAGUCACAAGCCAUCGCAACUGACAGUUUAAACGUCUGCCUCUUAUCUCUAAGGGAGGGAACUAUCUCUUAUGCAAUGUGAUAUCCAUGGCUGCUAGCACAGUGUAAUUAAUUCUUUCAUUGUUGAUCAUUGUAAGUUAGGAUGCAUGUGUAUACUAUAUUGGAGGCUUUGGGCCAUGAUUAGAUUGCUAUGUAUCUACCAGAUCCAGUCCCUCCAUCAGCAUCUAUAUCAAAAAGCACAGAAGCUUUACCUUAGUCUUAAGUGACCAACUUAACAAAAAAGUGCAAUCAGAAGAAUAUCCUAGUGUUAGCCUACUAAGUAUUCUGUUUUUACCAUUCUCAUUCACAUUUAAAACUUUUAUUGAGUGCUAAUCGUAUGACAGACACUUUGCUAGGUACAGUAAGGAGAUGGGGUAGGAGGCUUCUCAAAGAGGAAGCUCCCUAGUAUUUAUAACCUAGAAGAGGAAUCAGACCCA